CAAUGACCUAAUUCAUUCUAAUUAGAAUUCUUCACCCCCUUUAUCACCUAAGCCGCUACAUCUUGUGCAUUCAUUGGUUGAAACCUUUUAUCAAAGCAAUGCACCGCGUUUUUUCGAAGGAGUAUAAUGACUGACUCACGACCGUCGAAGUUCUCGUUUGAUGAUUCUAUGGGCACUACAAGUAUGUUUUUUUAUAAUCUACGUUUGUACACAUUCUGAUUGUCACGUCCUAGCACAUUCUGUGAGUUACAAUUGUUGAUGUGUGUUUGUGUUAAUCGUGUAUACGUGGUGAAUAUAUUGGCCGGGGACGAAGGACCAAUGGGGACCACACUCGUAGGAGCUGGACUGACCGUGAGGAGGAGAUAUUGGUACUCGCGAUGAAGGAUCUGGUGUUGAAUGGCUGGAAAUCUGAAAACGGAUUUUGGUCAGGGUACCUGUUCCAGCUUGAGGAUGCUUUGAAGCAACAAUUUCCCAAAUCUAACAUCAGAAUCCGUCCGCAUAUUCAUUCAAAGAUUAUUGCGUGGAAAAAAAUCUACUCGUCUUUGAGAGAUAUUCUUCAGCAUAGAGGCGUUGGUUUCAACGCGUACAAUGACUACAAGAUUGAAUGCGACGAUGAUCUAUGGUACCAUAUUGUGAAGGUGGUUGAUCAUUUACACUAUGAAUCAUAUAUGCACAUUUUGGCGACGAUGAUCUAUGGUACCAUAUUCUGAAGGCAGACACCAAUGCUCAGUUUUUUAGGGGAAAGAGUUGGCCAUAUUGGGAGCAUUGGCAGGUAAUUUUCGGAUAUGACCGUGAGCGAUGAGUCCCUUUCUUUUUUGUCGGGCAACGUAGUUGCUGAAACUUAUUGGUAUAUUGAAUAAGUUGUUCCUAUGCAUAUGCUUUUAUGAAUCUGUAUCACCAAUUGCAAAUUGCUUGUAUUUAGUUAGAUUUGAAAAUGCCAUCCAAUUUACCUCUUUAGUUAUGAUGCCAAUUUGGUGAUAGAUUCUCCAAGACAAUCUACAAUUAUUGUUUGGAAGAUUUAAAACUUCAUGUAAUGGUAGUUCAUAAUGACAUUUUGGAUCAACUGAUUUUCCUUUA